UGCAAUGGUAUAGAAAAUGUUAGUUGCAUUUGCACUGUUUAGUCUACCGUUGCAAUAGAUACAUUUUACCACUAGUGAUUUAGUGAGAUAAAAUAACUAUUCAAAAAAAAAAAAAAAAAAAAGUGAGAUAAAAUAACUUAGAAGCGCCAACAUUACGGAAUUUUUGUGAAAUUCUAAAUUUCACUUUUUCCCUCCAAAAACUUCAAACACCAAAUUGUUAAAGCCCACUAUACGCCGUCCCACUCUCUCACGAAAAAACAUAAGCUAUUUUCCCUUUCCCCUAUCUGAUUUCUCUCAUCUCUCUCGUUCUCAACCUCCAUAUUAUACAUCUCCCUUGAGAAUCUGUCAAAUUCACGACGCCGAAUUUGUACGAUGCCCAAUUUAAAUUCGCGAUGCCAGUUGAAGAUUCUCGAGCGUCGCCUUACGCUCUAACUAUGCAUUUGAUGCGAGUCUAGUCUAGUGGUGAACAAUGAACCAAUGGAGGAGAUCAAACAUGGAUGUCCCACUAUAUACGCUAUUGGUGGCCGGAUCUAGCUAGUUAUAUAUUGUAAUAUGGUGCUUGCAGACAAUAUUUAGAAAGAAAUUACGGAUGUAUAUGCUAGAAAUAUUUUGUAGUACAUUAAACAAUUAUUUUGUUUAGUUUGAUUUAAUACAUUUCAUUUAUAUUAGUAACAAUUUAGUCA